GGGGAAGGGUAGCUUGCUACCUGACCUAGCGGCGGACGGGUGAGUAAUGCUUAGGAAUCUGCCUAUUAGUGGGGGACAACAUUCCGAAAGGAAUGCUAAUACCGCAUACGCCCUACGGGGGAAAGCAGGGGAUCUUCGGACCUUGCGCUAAUAGAUGAGCCUAAGUCAGUAUAGCUAGUUGGGUGGGGUAAAGGCCUACCAAGGCGACCAUCUUGUAGCCGGUCCUGAAAAGGAUGAUCCCGCCCCACUGGGGACUGAAACACCGGCCCAAAACCCCUACGGGAGGCAGCAGUGGGGAAAUAUUGGACCAUGGGCCGAAAGCCUAUCCCACCCCUGCCCCGGUGUUGUGAAAAAAAGGCCCUUUUGGUUUGUAAAACGCCUUAAACCCAAGGAGGAGGCCUCCCCGAAAAUAAAACCCCUUUGGGAAAGGGGGCCGCUUCCUCCCAAAAAAAACCCCCGGUUUAUCUUUUUUCCCCACCCCCCGUGAAAAAAGGGGGGCA
rnacentral:rRNA from 1 species